GACGAACCACACAAACGUUAUUCGGAAUUACUGGGCUUAAAGGGUGCGUAGGCGGCGCGGAAAGUAGGGUGUGAAAUCCCUCGGCUCAACCGAGGAAUUGCGCCCUAAACUACCGUGCUCGAGGGAGAUAGAGGUGAGCGGAACUUAGGGUGGAGCGGUGAAAUGCGUUGAUAUCCUAAGGAACACCGGUGGCGAAAGCGGCUCACUGGACCGGAACUGACGCUGAGGCGCGAAAGCGUGGGGAGCAAACAGG
rnacentral:rRNA from 1 species